GACGAACGCUGGCGGCGUGCUUAACACAUGCAAGUCGAACGGAAAGGCCCUGCUUUUGUGGGGUGCUCGAGUGGCGAACGGGUGAGUAACACGUGAGUAACCUGCCCUUGACUUUGGGAUAACUUCAGGAAACUGGGCUUAAUACCGAUAAGAGCCUCCUCCUCCAUGUGGGGGUUGGGAAAGUUUCGGCGGUUGGGGAUGGACUCGCGGCUUAUCAGCUUGUUGUUGGGGUAGUGGCUUACCAAGGCUUUGACGGGUAGCCGGCCUGAGAGGGUGACCGGCCACAUUGGGACUGAGAUACGGCCCAGACUCCUACGGGAGGCAGCAGUGGGGAAUAUUGCACAAUGGGCGGAAGCCUGAUGCAGCAACGCCGCGUGCGGGAUGACGGCCUUCGGGUUGUAAACCGCUUUCGCCUGUGACGAAGCGUGAGUGACGGUAAUGGGUAAAGAAGCACCGGCUAACUACGUG
rnacentral:rRNA from 1 species